rnacentral:lncRNA from 1 species
ACUCUCGCAGUACCUCCGCCUUCAGGAAGGUCUUUUUAGCAGGGGCCUUACAGGUGCACGCUUCGGUCCUGGAGGCCUUAUCCUAACCUCUCCAUCAGCGCCACCCGUCUGGGGCCCGAAAGGAGGGAGCUUUCCCUCUGUCCUCCAGCCUUUGGACUGUCUCCAAACAAGCCAUUCGUUCACCAAAUACUUAUUAAGCACCUACCAUGUGCCUGACAAGGGAGAUGUAACGGUGAGAAAGACUAGGUGUGGUCUGGGCCCUCCAGAGGCUCAGGGGCUCGUGGAAGAAGUGGACAUUGAAGUACUUAUCACACAAAUGAGUAUAAAAGUACAAUAGCGAUAUCUGCCACAAAGAUGAGCAGACAGAGCUAGCGGGGCUUGCAGGAGGAGUUUUGAUCUUGCAGGGACAGGAAAGAGGAGUUAGCUCCUGCGGGGUGGGAUGGGGGGGUGGUGGUGAUAUAGACGUGGGGACAGAGUGGAAAACAACAAAAAUAUAAUUAUUUUAGUUCAAAGUUAUUGUGUCUUGAGUUGAAAGGCAGGGCAGUUAGCAACACAGUUCAGAUUUCAGUACUGCCCCCGAAAUCUGAACUGUGUUCAAAGUCUAAAACGUUUACCUUAGCAAAUUCCUCAUAAAACUCCAUUUGGAAGAGUCUCGAGAGCUAAUUUGUUAAGUAUACUUGCAAAAGGUAGAUGAGGAGACAGAUAAAAUCUUAUUACCUCUUUCAGAUGAGAGGCACUUGAGCCCUGCUCAGCUAUGAGAAUAAGAGAGGGGAAUUAAUUCGAAUUGAAUACACUUGUUCUCUUAUAGCUGUUGUUCCCCACCAGAACCAAAUGAGCGCAAGAUCUGACAAAGAAAAAAAAGGUUCAUCUUUUAUUCCCCCAAACACUUUCAUUUAAAUCAAGAGGAUGGGAUGUGGUUAUUGCUGUGUUUUUAGACAGAAUCAACGGUUUCUGUGUCUGAGAUGUUGCAUACACCCUCUCAGUCCCUCUAUCCUGAGAUGGAGUCACCUGAGGAUCCACAGCAAGUCCUAACCAGGGAUGGGUCUGGGUGAUUAAGGAAGGUUGGCUUCAGAACUGGGCCAGGGGCACUGCUUUGCUUUUGCUGUUUUGAUCAGCUCUCUGCCUGCAGGAGACAAGGAAAACCAAUGGGAACAGAUAGGGUCUCUCUCUCUGCCACCCAGGCCAGAGUGCAGUUGACGCAGGGCAGGGGAGCCCCGAAGUGGAGCAUAGUGUGUCCGGAACUGGUGGGUUCUUGGUCUCACUGACUUCAAGAAUGAAGCCGUGGACCCUCACGGUGAGUGUCACAGUUCUUAAAGGCGGCGUGUCUGGAGUUUGUUCCUUCUGAUGCUCGGAUGUGUUCAGAGUUUCUUCCUUCUGGUGGGUUUGUGGUCUCGCUGGCUUCAGGAGUGAAGCUGCAGACCUUCAAAGUGAGUGUUACAGCUCUUAAGGUGGCGCGUCUGGAGUUGUUUGUUCCUCCCAUUGGGUUCAUAGUCUCGGUGGCUUCAGGAGUGAAGCUGCAGACCUUCGAGGUGAGUGUUACAGCUCAUAAAGGCAAUGUGGACCCAAAGAGUGAGCAGCAGCAAGAUUUAUUGCAAAGAGCAAAAGACCAAAGCUUCCACAGUGUGGAAAGGGACCCCAGUGGGUUGCCACUGCUGGCUGGGGCAGCCUGCUUUUAUUCCCUUAUCUGGCCCCACCCACAUCCUGCUGAUUGGUCCAUUUUACAGAGAGCCGAUUGGUCUGUUUUACAGAGAGCUGAUUGGUCUGUUUUGACAGGGUGCUGAUUUGUGCAUUUACAAUCCCUGAGCUAGAUACAAAAGUUCUCCAAGUCCCUACUAGAUUAGCUAGACACAGAGUGUCGAUUGGUGCAUUCACAAACCCUGAGCUGGACACAGGGUGCUGAUUGAUGUAUUUACAAACCUUGAGCUAGAUACAGAGUGCCGAUUGGUGUAUUUACAAUCCCUUAGCUAGACAUAAAGCUUCUCAAAGUCCCCACCAGACUCAGGAGACCAGCUGGCUUCACCAAGUGGAUCCCACACGGGGGCCACAGGUGGAGCUGCCUGCCACUCCCACGCCCUGUGCUGGUACUCCUCAGCCCUUGGGUGGUUGAUGGGACUGGGCGCCCUGGAGCAGGGGGCGGUGCUCAUUGGGGAGGCUUGGCACUCAUCAGGGAGGCUCAGGCUGCGCAGGAGCCCACGGAGGGUUGGGGGGAGGCUCAGGCAUGGUGGGCUGCAUGUGCCGAGCCCUGCCCUGCAGGGAAGCAGCUAAGGCCCUGCGAGAAACUGAGCAAAGCAG